GACGAACGCUGGCGGCGUGCCUAAUACAUGCAAGUAGAACGCUGAAGAGAGGAGCUUGCUCUUCUUGGAUGAGUUGCGAACGGGUGAGUAACGCGUAGGUAACCUGCCUUGUAGCGGGGGAUAACUAUUGGAAACGAUAGCUAAUACCGCAUAACAAUGGAUGACACAUGUCAUUUAUUUGAAAGGGGCAAUUGCUCCACUACAAGAUGGACCUGCGUUGUAUUAGCUAGUAGGUGAGGUAAUGGCUCACCUAGGCGACGAUACAUAGCCGACCUGAGAGGGUGAUCGGCCACACUGGGACCGAGACACGGCCCAGACUCCUACGGGAGGCAGCAGUAGGGAAUCUUCGGCAAUGGGGGCAACCCUGACCGAGCAACGCCGCGUGAGGGAAGAAGGGUUUCGGAUCGUAAAGCUCUGUUGUAAGUCAAGAACGGGUGUGAGAGUGGAAAGUUCACACUGUGACGGUAGCUUACCAGAAAGGGACGGCUAACUACGUG
rnacentral:rRNA from 1 species